CGCGUAGGCGGUUUGGCAAGUCUGACGUGAAAUGUACCGGUUCAACCGGGGCGCUGUGUCAGAAACUGCCUUACUUGAGGUCGAGGGAGGAGAGUGGAAUUCCUGGUGUAGCGGUGAAAUGCGUAGAUAUCAGGAGGAACACCCGUGGCGAAGGCGACUCUCUAUCUCGAUUCUGACGCUGAGGCGCGAAAGCUAGGGGAGCAAACAGGAUUAGAUACCCUGGUAGUCC
rnacentral:rRNA from 1 species